GAUGAACGCUAGCGGCAGGCUUAACACAUGCAAGUCGAGGGGCAGCGCGGGAUAGCAAUAUCCUGGCGGCGACCGGCGGAAGGGUGCGUAACGCGUGAGCGACAUGCCCGUUGCCCGGGGACAACCGGUGGAAACGCCGACUAAUCCCCGAUGGGAUAUUGUGCCGCAUGGCACGAUAUUGAAAGUUACGGCGGCGACGGAUUGGCUCGCGUCCGAUUAGCUUGUUGGCGGGGUAACGGCCCACCAAGGCUGCGAUCGGUAGGGGUUCUGAGAGGAAGGCCCCCCAAGAUGGGACUGAGACACGGCCCAUACUCCUACGGGAGGCAGCAGUGAGGAAUAUUGGUCAAUGGGCGGAAGCCUGAACCAGCCAUGCCGCGUGCGGGAAGGAGGCCCUAUGGGCUGUGAACCGCUUUUGCCUGGGGGCAAUAAGGGCGUCGCGCACGUCCGAUGAGAGUACCAGGCGAAUAAGCAUCGGCUAACUCCGUG
rnacentral:rRNA from 1 species